GCACUUACCCUUCUAUGCCCUAAGAAGUCUCUGGUAGGCCGCUUUUGAGAGAGGCUUUUCUAAAUGAUGCUCCCUACUAACCUGUUUUAUUUAAUACGUGUCACCAAGCAUAUGACAUUUUCUUAAUACGUGGCCAUCACCCCAAAGCCUCUGUUUUCCCAUCUAUGAAAUGGGCCAAACAAUAGCCCCGACCUUAUGGAACCGCAUGUUCAUAUGCUCAGUUAAAAUCAAUACACCUUCAUAUGAGCGGUUCAGUGUGCAGCUGUGUGAGUUGAGUGCUUAGCCUGAUCCGCAGAAACACAGUCUGUAUUUUGAAGGGUUGAAUACCUCAUAAAUCAGCCAUCCAGGGUCUAGAUGAGCAGGCUGUUACUGUAUUUAUUACACUGCACUUGUACGAGAUCCUAUUUCUCUUUAAUAAAGUAAUUUUAAUCAUGCAUCUGUAAGGUCUUGCUGGGCGGCUACUCUUUUCCCACCUGCUGGCAAAGAGACACACUAGAGGACACUGCAAGUGAAGUACCGGGAUUGAUGUUAACCAAAGCUGUGGCUCCUGGAAGCUCCGUCCAGAUUCAGAGAUAUCAGAGGUUUACCCAACCGCGAGAACUCUCUAACCUUGGCUGUGCAAAAUAAAUCUCCUGGAGGAAUGUCUACGUCUGGUUCUAUAAGAAGGGUGAUGGAAAACAACGACGUGUUUCUGGAUUGGAAGUUUGGCCUUGUCAGUCUUGAGAAGCGGGCUGUGGAAGGUCCAGACUCUAGCCUGGAGCGAUUGGGGGUGGUCUAAAACCAUGUGGACCACCUGGAAGGCACAGAGGCUUUGACAAGCAGUGCAGCAACAAGACAGAAACUACCAUUCGCGAGAUAAAUUCAGGUCAGUCUUUUGGGAGGUCUUGCUUCUGCGCUUUAAGAAAUGUGUUCAGCCACUACAGCAGGCCAGCAGCAUGACUGGCCUUUUCCCCAGUUUUAGUUAGCCCCAGCAUUACGGCUAAUCAGGAGCAGG
rnacentral:lncRNA from 1 species